AAGCAAGCAAGUAAAGAACAUCCCUCCAUGGCUUCUGCAUCAGCACCUGCUUUCGGACCUGCUUGAGUUCCAGUCCUGACUUCCUUGGUGAUGAACAGCAGUAUGGAAGUGGUAGCAAUUCCCCUCAAGAGGACUCUAGCUUCAUGACCUUUUUAACUCCCAAGAGCCUAUCUCCAGAAAGCAUCACGCUGGGGAUUAGCAUGUGAACACUGCAUGCCUCCACUCCAUGUGCAUGUGAUGGACGUGUACUGGGCAGUGCUAGAGAUGUUCAUCAUCAACUUUAAGGAAUUGAAGACAUCCCUAAAUAUCUCUGAAGGGAUCAAAAAUUACCAAAACACCUCAAAAGGAAAGAUACUUCAGUGAGGAAGUCAGUGUUGAGAAUGGAGUUUUGGAUUCACUUUAGUUUACACCAACCAGGGUACCACAAACCCACUGCUUUUGCUCAGGAGAUUAACUUCCAUCCAGGCUACUUCAGACAAGUGGUGCGGGCUUGGUCUAUCAACUUGACAUGAGCUAAAGUAAUCUGAGAAGAAUGGGUCUCACUUGAGAAUAUGCCAUCAUAAUUAGACUGUGGUCAAGCCUGUGGAACAUUCUCUCAAUGAGUGAUUGAUAUAAAAAGAUCCAGCCCCUUGUAGGUGGGGAACUCCUGUGCUGGUGGUCCUGGGUUCUAUAAGAAGAGAGGAUGAGGGAGCCAUGAGGAGCAAGUUGGCAAGAAGAAGCCCUCAAUGGUCUCUGCAUUAGUUUUCUCCAACCCAGGUAUACUUCCUCCUUUGGCUUCCCUGAAUGGGCUGUGGUUCAGAAUAUGUAAGCCAAAUAAAUCCUUCCUCCUCGAGUGGAUUUUAACCAUGUUGUUUCACCACACACAUAGUGACCCUAAGACAAAAACCUUAUUAAAUACAGUAGGCUAUAAAGAAACAAACAGAAAAAGAUGAAAAUGUAGGAGGCAGUUGCUGUGAAGUGUGUGUGUGUGUGUGUGUGUGUGUGUGUGUGUGUGAAAAUCUAAAUGAACUGAAAAAUAAAUGGCAUACAGCCCAAGGCUCUCCAGCUGUUGCUUACUUCGAAGAAUGUUUAUCUAACAUGCAAGGAGCACAAGGUUUGAUCUCAAUUCUCCAGAACUACACACACAUGUAUGUGGUAACACAUAUCUGUAAACCUAAGACUUUGAAUAUGGAGGCUGAAAUAUUAGUUGAAGGUUAUCUUGUAAUAUUUAAUAAUUUCCAGGCAAGCCUGAGCUACAUUAAACCAUGUCUUAAAAACAACCCCUGGACGUGAGCAUCAUGGAUUAUUUUCAUCCCAAUGCUUUGUGACAUGCACUAAGAGUGGUUAUUCAUAAAAAAUGGCAACUUUGAACACAUGACUUUUUGUGUCACAUAACCAAGAACUAAUUCAUGUCUUAGUUAUGUAUUUAUACUUACUGGUGCUAAUAGUUGUGUGUGGGAUAUCCAGUGUAGUAAAUAUCAAUUUAUUUUCAGUCUCUCAUUUUUAAGUUUUGCAAUCAAGAGAAUAAGACUAAAUUAUUUUUUCUUAGUUAUUUUCUGUGUGUAGAGGGAUAUAUGUAUAUAGAGUAGAUAUGUACCUUCAUGUUUGUAUGCAAAGGUACCUCCUUCCUGAAAGGCUAUCAGUGAACACUCCGCAGAUGCCAUUGCAAGAUGUCUUGUGUGCACUUCUAUCUCUCACUUCUCUAUUCACUUGAGACAAGGUUUCUUCCUGGACCUGGACCUGGAUCUCACUAGUUUGAGACUAGGCUGUUUGCUAGAAUUCUCCAUAGAUCCUAUUUUUCCACAUUCUCCUCAAACUGGAGACCUGAGGUCACAGAUGCUGACCAAACUAGAGUUUUUCAAUGGUUAUCAAGUCUUCCUGCUUGAACAGAGGCACCUACCUCUAUGCCAUCUACCCAGGUCUAGCUUUAUUCAUUAUAUUCUCUGGGGGAAAUAUGAUAAACAUCAUGCUCAUUUUACAUAGACGUCAUCGGGCCUUCGUUGCAGCAGUUCCCUCACAACAUCAUUGGCAUGAGGUUUGGCCACAUGACUUACUGUGCCCACUUGAUUCUGACUAGAAACAGGGCAAGCCGUGUUUAAGUACCACAUGUAGGGAAAGAAAUUAUAGUCCAGGACACUUGCUGCUGACAGGUCUUUUAGCCUGGAAUCAAGUAUAAGGAGGAAAUGUGCCGCCCUCUGCUAAGCCGUGGAAGCUAUGAGAGUCUAAGUUCUCCGGUUAUUUGGAGGGUACUAAGACUGAGGGGAAAAUUAAGACAAGUUUCAUAGAAGUUUUGUAGAAGAUUUUUUUUUUUUUUAGCUAGAAAGACUUAUAUUUCUCUCCUCUACUCUUUUGUUUUGUUUUAACUUCCUGGCCAGUAAUUCCGCUUAAUAAUGCUAACCCAAGAACCUAAUCAUAGCUCAAAACACACAUUUUGUUUGCUUAUUAAAAUGGUUUGUUCCCUUUGAAGCAUAAUGUUAAAAAUAAUUUUAAAAACCAUAUUUGGAAGGUGCAUUACUGUUUUUAGCUGUUUUAUUUGCUCCAGAAAAAAAAAAUUGAUUCUGAUAAAAAGUUGAAUUGUCUUUGGACUUUAACACAAACUACCUUGCUUCAAUAGAAUGGUUUAAGGCAUAGUGGAUUGAACUUAAUAAAUGCAAUCAUACCCCGAAUACACCCUGACAGCAUGCAAGGGAAUUCUGAUGAAAGCAAAAUUAAUUUCUGAAACAAAGUUAUCCUCCCUUGAUAGUGUGAAAUACUUUUGAAAUGUUUUGUUAAAAAUUAAAAUGCCAGAAUAAAAACCAAGUUUUUAGAUCAAAAGGAGUAUAUUCUAAAACUCUGGAGAUUUAUUUGCUAUAUAUAGUUGCUCUAAAAACAGUCAUGUUCCUGUAUACACUGUGUCUAUAUGCUACACCAAUCACCUGUGUUCUGCAUUCUCUCAUUACUGAGAAGCCAUGAGGUGCUGCAUAAGGUAAAUCUUCCCUGAGAAACAUCAAAUAGAAUCAUCCUCAGAUGUGGCUUUAAGCUGUUUGGGUUGCCUCCUCUCAGGUGCAGUAGUAACUUUUCAAUAUUCACUAAUGCCAAUGAAAUGUUCCACCCAUAACGAAAGUGUAUUCCCAUGCAUGUUUCAACUAUACUAAAGUGUGAAAACAUAGCUGACCUGGCCAUGGCUUUAGAAUGGAGAUCCAAACCUUGUUCUGAUAGGUCAUCAAAACAGAGCUU
rnacentral:lncRNA from 1 species